CUCUGAAGCCCUCAGUGACCCCACAAAGGUGGGUGUGGCCCCUUCCCAUUUUUCAGGCUGUCUUGGCAGAGGCUCCCUGUCACCAAGGACCUGAGGUUGUCACAGCUGGACGGUGUGGGAACUGGCACUGCUGGGCUCCUGCUGCCUGGGACACGUAGGUCUGCUCGGUGAUCCUGAGCACCCACCCUGUGAACCUCAGUGCCCGGCUGGGGAGCGGAGAUUGACAGAGGGAGAGCAUCCUCACAUGUCAGCAAAAACAGAAAGCUUGGCAUCAUCUUAAUUGCCUGGCAGCGUCCCCUGCACGGUUGUGUCAUCAUUUUGUGGAUCACUCUCGUGUUGACGGAUGUGAGUGCUGCUCCCAUCUUCCCUCUUAUCAAUGACUGUGUGGAGCCACCUCGGACAGGGGCCCUUUACCAUGCAGGUCUGGGGGGCCCGCUUCCUGCUGAGUCUCCCUCCUCUGGAUGAAAGCUCCAAGGAAAUGCACAUCACCCUGACACGGAGCUCACCCCGAUCCCCACCACGGGGCCUGGCCCCUGCUCCGAGGGCCCACAGCCUCCCAGGUGCCUGUGCCAGCAGGGAGCACCUACAGCUUCCUGCUUGGCGUUCUUUAGGAAAAUGGGGUGCAGGCCAGUCGAGGACAGAGGUAGGACAGGUUGCUUCACUGGAGUCCUGCCACCUCCGAGGGGGCCACGUUCUGAGCCAGGCCCGGAGGACAGAACACCUCGCCUUCUGUGGACAUGCAGCGUGGGAAGAGCCGUAG
rnacentral:lncRNA from 13 species